rnacentral:lncRNA from 10 species
AUAUAAACUAUCAUAUCUGUACAUAUAAACUGUGUAUAUCAUAUAUAUGCACAUAUAAACUAUCAUAUAUAAUACAUCUGCACAUACAAACUGUAUGUAUCAUAUAUAAUACAUCUGCACUUAUAAACUGUAUCAUACAUAAUACAUCUGCACAUAUAAACUGUAUCAUAUCUACACAUAAACUGUAUAUAUCAUAUAAUAUAUGCGCAUAUAAACUAUCAUAUAUCUGCACAUAUAAACUAUGUAUCAUAUAUAUCUGCACAUAUAAACUGUGUGUAUCAUAUAUAGUACAUCUGUACAUAUAAACUGUAUCAUAUACAUCUGCACAUAUAAACUAUCAUAUAUAAUACAUCUGCACUUAUAAACUGUGUACCAUAUAUAUCUGCACAUAUAAACUGUAUCAUAUAUAUCUGCACAUAUAAACUAUCAUAUAUAAUACAUCUGCACAUAUAAACUGUAUCAUAUAUAAUCUGCACAUAUAAACUGUAUCAUAAUACAUCUGCACAUAUAAACUGUCAUGUAUAUCUGCACAUAUAAACUGUAUCAUAUAUAUUUGCACAUAUAAACUGUGUGUAUCAUAUAAUACAUCUGCACAUAUAAACUAUCAUAUAUAAUACAUCUGCACAUAGAAACUGUGUAUCAUAUAUCUGCACAUAUAAGCUGUGUGUGUAUCAUAUAUAUCUGCACAUAUAAACUGUGUGUAUCAUAUAUAAUACAUCUGCACAUAUAAAUGUGUGUAUCAUAUAUAUCCACACAUAUAAACUGUGUGUGUAUCAUAUAUCUACACAUAUAAACUGUGUGUAUCAUAUAUAAUACAUCUGCACAUAUAAACUGUGUGUAUCAUAUAUAUCCGCACAUAUAAACUGUGUGUGUAUCAUAUAUAUCUGCACAUAUAAACUGUGUGUGUAUCAUAUAUAAUACAUCUGCACACAUGCUUCUCUGUAUUGAAAACCAAAUUGUCACGGACCACUCCCAUUCUCACGCAGCAUUUAGGGCUGUGGCUAGCCUUUCCCAGCUGUAAGAAACCUGUCUUUCAGCAUGAUAAACACAUUUACUUAUUUGCUCAGUCCUCUAAUAUGCAGAAAGUAGUUUUAGAAUUGCCAAAACCAUACAACUUGGAAAAACAAGCAUGAUUACUUCAAGAUGUGUUUGUAGCUCCUUCUGUCCUGGCAUUGGACGUGGAGAGAAAGCACAGACUGUUCCAAGUUUCAUUUUUCCCCUUCUCUGAAACGCAGAGAGCGUUGUUUGUUUCUGUUUGUAUUUCAUUUGGGUCCUCCCUCUAGCCUUAUUCAUAAAUUUGUAAAUGAUCUUUAACAAUCUGUUAUAUUUAUGAUGUUUUACUGCGUGCUGCCUGUGAAAAUGUUUCCUUCUUCUGACACGUUCCAGAACAACUAGGCUUUUAAAUUCCAAAUAUUCCUGUUUCACAAUAAACCAGAUGAGGGCCUCUGUUGUGCCACAGCUUUUGGAAUGUGGUUUAUUACCAAUAGAAGUGGCUGCGUGGCUUGUUAUGGUUUCAAUUACACGUGAGUAACAACCGGGGCCCUUCUGUGUCAGGUGCUGCUGAUCAAGGCUGGCUAAUGGGGACCUCGCUGUCCAGAACGGGCGUUUCCCAUGGCCCGGCCCAGCUGUUUACCACUUCUGUCUACCAUUUCAGAGGGGCUUUGCGGAGAUUAAAUGAGGUGAAGCGCUCUGAGAACCUCAGUCCUAAAGAAUAGCAGUUAUACUGGUUUUUGUAUUAUAUUUAUAUAUUCUUCUUGUUAAUAUACUGGUUUUAAUGUUCAUCGUUCUCUUGGGAUCCCAUGACAGUGAGCCUGGUGUACCUGAGGUCUGGGAUACUCACACCUCUCCCCAGUCCCAUGCUCCCCACUGUGGCAGUGCCUGUCAGGGACCCUGCUGACCCCAGGAAGCCUCGGUGUCCCCAGCGCUGGCUCUGCUCACACAGGCAGCAGGCUUAGUGUUCUCUGGCCUGGCUGCACUGACUGGACCAGGGACAGGGGAAGGGCCCCAAAGCACCCUGUUCCAGGCAGCCGGCCAGUCGUGGCCGAGGAGCUCCAUUCAACAGUGGCACCCAGAGGGGCCAGGGUCUCAUAAAGCUGGUCAGACGCCCCCUCUGGGUAGGGGUGUAGGAAGCGGCUGUGCAGCCGGGUCCCAGGUAGGGAGGCAUAGAGUGAAGGCUGUGAGCAGGAGCCCUGGGGCGGAGGGCCAGGAGAAGGCUGGGCACAGGUCCAUCGGUGGCAGCUGGGUGGGCAGAGCAGAGAGGCUGCAUCUGCACGACGGCAGGGCCCUGGUGUGGGAACAGCAGACGGGGCCCCUGGGUGCGGCGCCUCCUUCCCACAUCCCUGCUGCUCCUGCAUCUGCUGCUGGAGAAGACCACGACGUGCUCAGACCCCGGCACUGGAGAACUCCAGAUGUGGUGAGGGCUGCACGUUAGCUGCAUACGCACAUCUGGAAGGUGAGGCAGACGUGCCCACCGCCUCCAUGCCUGGCCCACAGUUGUGGGCAUGCAGAGCUCCUCUGUGGCAGGCCCAGGCUGCACCAGCUGCCUGGAGAGGCACUGGGGGCGGGGCCUCACUUGAGGGGCAGAUUCUCCCACCCAGCCAGUCCAGGCCCAGCGGCUGGAGCAUCCCGUCCAGCAAAUUGUCCUGCAAGUUGCCCUGGAGACCCAGCGUCUCUCAUCACGUCUCACUCCCCUGCCAGAUGCCUCUGCGGCAAUAACGAGAGUGGCUCUGCCUUCUGCACUGAAUGCCGACAGGUGACCAGAACAUGACACUGGGGUUAUGCAGUGCCCUGGUUGAUAUUCUAGUUCAUCAGGGAGCUUCUGGAAUGAUUUUUUUUUUCUUUUUUUUUUUUUUUUGAGACAGAGUCUCUCUCUGUCGCCCAGGCUGGAGUGCAAUGGAGCAAUCUUGGCUCACCACAACCUCUGCCUCCGGGGUUCAAGUGAUUCUCCUGUCUGAGCCUCCUGAGUAGCUGGGAUUACAGGUGUCCACCACUAUCACUCAGUUAAUUUUUAUAUUUUUAGUAGAGAUGGGGUUUCACCAUGUUGCCUGGGCUGGUCUCAAACUCCUGACCUCAGGUGAUCUGCCUCCUCAGCCUCCCAAAGUGCUGGGAUUACAGGCAUGAGCCACCUCACCCAGCCAACUUUCUUUUGCUUCACUUUUCCUCUGGUUGCCCCAUCUUUAUUGUCAAGUCCUGUUAAGAGGAACAACAUUAAAAUGAGAGCUUUCAUGGCAAAAAGGUUGCUGUGGGUUGAGCUUGCAAUGUUAGCUGCGUGUUAGGAUUCAGCUGACAUCUGUCUCUGGAGUCUCGCCCUUUCUGUAAUUCGCUUUUGACUGUAAUAAAUGUUGUACAGGCCAGGUGCAGUGACUCACACCUGUAAUCCCAGCACUUUGCAAGGCCAAGGCAGGUGGACCACGAGGUCAGGAGAUCGAGAUCAUCCUGGCUAACACGGUGAAACCCCGUCUCCACUGAAAAUACAGAAAAUUAGCUGGGUGUGGUGGCACCUGCCUGUGGUCCCAGCUAUU